rnacentral:rRNA from 1 species
UGAGUAACCUGCCCUGGACUUUGGGAUAACCCUCGGAAACGGGGGCUAAUACCGGAUAUGACGGCUCACCGCAUGGUGUGGUUGUGGAAAGUUUUUCGGUCUGGGAUGGGCUCGCGGCCUAUCAGCUAGUUGGUGAGGUAACGGCCCACCAAGGCGACGACGGGUAGCCGGCCUGAGAGGGUGACCGGCCACACUGGGACUGAGACACGGCCCAGACUCCUACGGGAGGCA